rnacentral:rRNA from 1 species
AACGAACGCUGGCGGCAUGCCUAACACAUGCAAGUCGAACGAGACCUUCGGGUCUAGUGGCGCACGGGUGCGUAACGCGUGGGAACCUGCCCUUAGGUUCGGAAUAACUCCCCGAAAGGGGUGCUAAUACCGGAUAAUUUCGUCGGACCAAAGAUUUAUCGCCUUUGGAUGGGCCCGCGUUGGAUUAGCUAGUUGGUAGGGUAAAAGCCUACCAAGGCGACGAUCCAUAGCUGGUCUGAGAGGAUGAUCAGCCACACUGGGACUGAGACACGGCCCAGACUCCUACGGGAGGCAGCAGUGGGGAAUAUUGGACAAUGGGCGAAAGCAUGAUCCAGCAAUGCCGCGUGAGUGAUGAAGGCCUUAGGGUUGUCAAGCUCUUUUACCCGGGAUGAUAAUGACAGUACCGGGAGAAUAAGCUCCGGCUAACUCCGUG